rnacentral:rRNA from 1 species
CCUACGUGCUGCAGCAGUGGGGAAUAUUGGACAAUGGGCGAAAGCCUGAUCCAGCCAUGCCGCGUGUGUGAAGAAGGCCUUCGGGUUGUAAAGCACUUUCAGUGGGGAAGAAAGCCUUGGGGCUAAUACCCUCGAGGAAGGACAUCACCCACAGAAGAAGCACCGGCUAACUCCGUGCCAGCAGCCGCGGUAAUACGGAGGGUGCGAGCGUUAAUCGGAAUUACUGGGCGUAAAGCGCUCGUAGGCGGUCUGAUAAGCCGGUUGGGAAAGCCCCGGGCUCAACCUGGGAACGGCAUCCGGAACUGUCAGGCUAGAGUGCAGGAGAGGAAGGUAGAAUUCCCGGUGUAGCGGUGAAAUGCGUAGAGAUCGGGAGGAAUACCAGUGGCGAAGGCGGCCUUCUGGACUGACACUGACGCUGAGGUGCGAAAGCGUGGGUAGCAAACAGGAUUAGAUACCCGGGUAGUC